rnacentral:rRNA from 1 species
GGGCCCGCACAAGCGGUGGAGUAUGUGGUUUAAUUCGAUGCAACGCGAAGAACCUUACCAGGGUUUGACAUCCUGCGAAUCCCUUGGAAACGAGGGAGUGCCUUCGGGAGCGCAGUGACAGGUGGUGCAUGGCUGUCGUCAGCUCGUGUCGUGAGAUGUUGGGUUAAGUCCUAUAACGAGCGCAACCCCUGUCGUUAGUUGCCAGCAUGUAAAGAUGGGGACUCUAACGAGACUGCCGGUGCAAACCGCGAGGAAGGUGGGGAUGACGUCAAAUCAUCACGGCCCUUACGUCCUGGCCACACACGUGCUACAAUGGCCGGUACAGAGAGCAGCCACGUCGCAAGGCGGAGCGAA